CAAGGGGAAUUACACAGAACAUCUUGACAAAGUAUUAGAAGAAGCUACUUCUGAGUUUUAUCCACAUGUAAAAUUUAUGCGUGUUGAGUGUCCAAAGUAUCCUGGGUUUUGUAUAAGUCGGCAGAAAAAGGAGUACCCAUUCAUGGAAAUAUUUCAUAGUCCAACACAUGUGGCUAACCAGGGUAGGGUAGCUGAUCCAAAUAUUACUAAAUACAAUGUGAAAGUCAUGCCUGUAAGUA